GUGGUAUUUGUAUAAACAAAUUCUUUCUAGUCUAAUAAUCAUAACAUAACAUACAAAGAUUACUAUCUUUGAAGCAUCUCACUUUCCUAUGAUAACUAAUUUUCAAAUAAGACUCCCAAAUAAUUUUCUAAAAUAUAUCAUAGUGAGAAUAUAUAUUGACAUGAAUUAGAGAAAAUAUCGAGAGCCAUUAUUGCUAUAACUACUAUUUUGUUAGUAAUAUACCAAAUGGAGCAAAACAUUAUUGAUUCUAUUUGCUCAGUUUUAUGUGUCAUGAGGUAACAAAAGAUGCUAUAUUUGAAGGAAAUGAAAGGGAUGUUGUUGCUCAAUUGUUAUGAUCUGCUUCUCAUCUGAAGACUAGUUUAUUACAUAUAAGCAUGUUUUUGGAAGUUUGAGAGAGAGAUCACAAGCAGAUCCCGUGUAGAAGAGAACAUCAUUGAUACAACUAUAAUAAUUCUUCCACUUCCAAGAGCCAUUGGACCACUGAGAAAUAUGUUUAGAUAUAAUAGACAAGUCUUUUGAUGAGAAGGUAGAUCAUAAUAGCUGAGCGAAAUGAAUGUGAUACAGUUGCUCAAUUGUUAUGAUCUGCUUCUCAUUUGAAGACUAGUUUAUUACAUAUAAGCAUAUUCUUGAAUGUUUGAGAGAGAGAUCACAAGCAGAUCUCGUGCAGAAGAGAGCAUCAUUGAUACAACUAUAAUGAUUCUUCCACUUCAAGAGCCAUUGGGCCGCUGAGAAAUAUGUUUAGAUAUAAUAAACAAGUCUUUAGAUGAGAAGGCAGAUCAUAAUAGCUAAGCAAUAAUAUCAUUUUCAUUUUUUUUCUUCCAAACUAGCAUCUUUUGUAACCCCACAGCCCAUAGCAUUGAGCAAACACAACCAAUCAUUAUUUGCUCUAUUUGGUUAUCACUAACCAAAAUACUAGCUAUAGUAAUGAUGGCUAAUGGUACACCUCCACAUUUCUUCAAAAUAGCUCUUGCUACUUACUCCAUUUUUCAUGUGGACACCUAUUCUUGCAUUCUUGUAUAGAGAAUUAUUAGAGAGUCUUAUUUAAAAUAUGUUUAGUUCUACUCCCUCCGUCCGGAAAUACUUGUCGGAGAAAUGCAUAAAAAUGGAUGUAUCUAGAACUAAAAUACGUCUAGAUAAAUCCAUUCCUCCGACAAGUAUUUCCGGACGAAGGGAGUAUUAAUUAUGUCAUCAUAGGAAGAGUGACAUUAUUCGUAGACACUGAUUUGCAUGUUGUUAUGAUUAUCUGACUAUAAAGAUUGGUUUUUGUCACACGAUACUCAUUAACCAAUUCGGUGAGUUUCUAAUGGACAAAAGGUAUGUGCACAUAGUACUCGUCUUUUAUUCUAUUUAAAAGAGAAUCAAAUGGCUAUGAAAUUCUUUUCUUCAUCUCUUAGUCUGUGAUACUUUUAUUAUGUCAUUUCCUCUUUUUUAUCCAAUUUAGCUGCUUUUUUACUCUUCCUAGCUAGCACAGUAUUGAUAAUUCAUUAUCUUCUUGAUUUCUAAAUUCCUAUAGUUUGUUUUAGUUUUCGUGUCUAAAUAAAUUGAUGUGCCAAUUAAUAUUUCUAUUUUUUUGUAAAUACCUUAUGAUUGUUGAUCACAUCUGGGUAGAAAAAAAGGUGAAGAUCAAGUGUUGUUUGUAUACGUUUUAGUUGUACUCGGAUAUCAUCAUAACAAGAUGCAAAAUUAGUAUCUUUGAAGCAUAUCACUUUCUAUGAUACAUAGUUCAUGAGAAACCUCUUUCAAAUAAGAUUCAAAUAAUUUUCUAUAGAAAAUAUGUCACGACGAGAACAUAUAUUCAUGUGAAUUGGAGAAAAUAUCGAGAGCUAUUUUGAAGAAAUGUGGCGGCAUACCAUAGCCAUUGUUACUACAGCUACUAUUUUGUUUAGUAAUAUACCAAAUGGAGCAAAAAAAUGAUUGCUUCUGUUUGCUCAAUUUUAUGUCUCAUGAGGUUACAGAAGAUGCUAUUUUGAAGAAAAUAAAAGGGAUAUCGUUGCUCGAUUGUUAUGAUUUGCUUCUCAUCUGAAGACUAGUUUAUUAUAUAUAAGCAUAUUUUUGGAAGUUUGAGAAAGAUCAUAAACAAGCGAUUGCCACGUGUCGACAGGGCUGCUCGAGCGACAGAGCAUCCCGCAGCCGCAGCGGACGAUUGAACGUGUCGCACCCCACUGCACCAUACAGCUAUAUUCUUCCACUUCAUGAGCCACUGUACUACUGGGAAAUAUGUUUUGAUAAUAAACAAGCCUUUAGAUGAGAAGGCAGAUCAUAAUAGGUGAGCAAUACUAUCUUUUUUUCUUUCAAACUAGCAUCUUCUGUAACCCCACAACCCAUAGCAUUGAGCAAGCGCAACCAAUCAUUGUUUGCUCUAUUUGAUUAUUACUGACCGAAAUACUAGCUAUAGUAAUGAUGGCUAAUGGUACACCUCCACAUUUCUUCAAAAUAGCUCUCACUACAUUUUUCACGCGGACAUAUGUUGUUGCUCGAAAAUAUUCUUAUAUGGAGAAUUAUUGGAGAGUCUUAUUUUAAAUAUGUUCAGUUCUAUUAAUUAUGUCAUCAUAGGAAGAGUGACAUUAUUUGUAGACAAUAGUUUGUGUGUUAUUACGAUUAUCCGACUAUAGAGAUUGGUUUUUGACACACCAUACUUGUUUUGCAUGAUGCGUGUUGUUUUUCUUUGUUUUUCUUCUCCGACGAGGCCUGCCCUUCGCUCACAUCUCAAAAGUCCCGAGGAACACGAAGAUCAGCGCACCAGCAGUCAGCAGCUCAAGUUCACCAACCCAGGAAAGAUAAAUAGGAACUAGGGCAAAUAAAAAAUAGUGUUUCUGGCUUUUGCUACCAUGAUAUUGUGAUCAAGAACAGGCUGUGUACUGCCCAUUCCGAUAUGUUUGAAUCAUUGGAGGGGGCAACAUUUUUUUUGUCGGUGCCAAAUGCCAAUAUUCAUGUGUCCCUUUGCUGAGAGCCUGAGCUCGUCAUUUGUCUGUCUUGGACAUGAGCUUCAUUGUAGUAUAUCAGGAUACUUCCAUGACGCCAGAUAUCUUCAGAAGUCAAUUUACAUGGUUUCCUUCCUCCUCUCCUUUUACGUCUUGAUGUUGAACAUGUGCUCUUCAGUCUGUACCUAGAAGUGUUGAUGAUUUUGUUCACGUUGUGCUUGCAUAUUUUGGUUCAAUCUCUUUCCAUUUUGCCAUGACCAAUUGCACGUGCUUGCAAGGAAAGUGAGCCUGAAAAAACAUGACUUUUUAAAGGUUGUAGAAACACUACUUGUAGUUUGUGGUAGCGUGUGGUUGAAAAAAGUUUGAAGGCGCUUAUGGAAACAAAGGUUUUCCUGGUAUAUGAUCCACUUGCGUCGAGUCUUGAUGAUGGCAACGGGCGGCGGCGGUAGGCACUAGGCAGGCGGCGCAUUGACGCGUGGUUCAAAUAUCAAUCGGCGGUGGAUCUGUAUGGCUAACGGUGAGGACAACGUUUGGUCUGGUAAUUUUGUUGUUGUAGCUAUGAUUUUGCGUGAGACUGAUUAUCUUUACUCCAAAUGUCUGAGUUGAUAGAAUUGCGUUCAUGUUUUUUUUUCGUCUGAUUUAUUUUCGUGUGGUUCAGUUUCAUCACACCUUUCAUCUUCAUAUCUUCGCGUUGAUUUUUUCACCAUCCCAAUAAAAACUUUCUUAACAUUAACAUUUGCAAACUUUUUUAACCAGGCACGUCACUUGUGUCGAGUCUUGAUGAUGGCAACGGGCGGCGGCGGUAGGCACUAGGCAGGCGGCGCAUAGGCGCAUGGUUCAAAUAUCAAUCGGCGGUGGAUCUGUACGGCUAACGGUGAUGACAACGUUUGGUCUGG
rnacentral:rRNA from 1 species